UACGGAGGGGGCUAGCGUUGUUCGGAAUUACUGGGCGUAAAGCGCACGUAGGCGGACCAGCAAGUUGGGGGUGAAAUCCCGGGGCUCAACCCCGGAACUGCCUUCAAAACUGCGGGUCUGGAGGUCGAGAGAGGUGAGUGGAAUUCCGAGUGUAGAGGUGAAAUUCGUAGAUAUUCGGAGGAACACCAGUGGCGAAGGCGGCUCACUGGCUCGAACCUGACGCUGAGGUGCGAAAGCGUGGGGAGCAAACGGG
rnacentral:rRNA from 1 species